CGGGCAGAACUCCAUAUGCAGCAGCCACUUUCCUGAGCCGGGCUCUCUCCCUCUUUUUCUCCCUGUCUUUCUCUCUCUCUCCCCCUUGUCGUUACCCAGCUACUUCCCCCCUCUCCCCAUGCCCUUCUCCUCCUGGGUAGUUUGCUGAGCGGAUCCGCCGUUGUGGUGCUGGCCGGGGUGCAUGGGGGGCCAGUAGGACAAAUCUUAUUCUCUGCACAGCUGCCCAGAGCCAGCCGGGGAGAGGGAGAGGGAACACGAAAGCAGCAGCAGGAGCAGCAGAAGCGCCAGGGCCGGUCACCCUCGCCCCCUCCCUGCUCCUGUGCACGCCCGUGCAAACCAUGUCCUAUCCUCAGGGUUACCUCUACCAGCCCCCCGGCUCGCUGGCUCUGUACUCCUGCCCGACGUACGGGGCGUCGGCUCUGGCGGCCCCCAGGAGCGAAGAGCUGGCCAGGUCUUCGUCGGGCUCGGCGUUCAGCCCUUACCCGGGAUCGGCAGCUUUCACAGCACAGGCGGCGGCCACAGGCUUCACCAGCCCGCUCCAGUACUCCACAGACCCCGCCACGGGAUUCCCCUCCUACAUGGGCUCUCCUUACGAUGCUCAUACGACGGGGAUGACCGGGGCCAUCAGUUACCAUCCGUAUGGCAGUCCUGCUUACCCUUACCAGCUGAAUGAUCCCGCUUACAGGAAAAACGCCACCCGAGAUGCCACAGCCACCCUGAAGGCCUGGCUGAAUGAGCACAGGAAGAACCCCUACCCCACCAAGGGCGAGAAGAUUAUGCUGGCUAUCAUCACCAAGAUGACCCUCACCCAGGUCUCCACCUGGUUCGCCAACGCCAGGAGGAGGCUCAAGAAGGAGAAUAAGAUGACUUGGGCUCCCCGGAACAAAAGCGAAGAUGAAGAUGAAGACGAAGGGGAUGGGGCAAGAAGUAAGGAGGAAAGUUCGGACAAGGUGCAGGAAAGCAAUGAAACUUCAGCAGAGGACGAAGGGAUCAGCUUGCAGGUUGACUCGCUCACCGAUCACUCCUGCUCCGCGGAGUCGGAUGGGGAGAAGUUAUCCUGCCGAGUAGGGGACACGCUCUGCGAGUCCGGAUCAGACUGCAAGGACAAAUACGAGGACAUCGAGGACGACGAGGAUGAAGAUGAUGAAGCAGAGAGAGACCUUCCCGCUAAGCCUGCGACUUCCUCCCCCCUCACCGGAGUGGAAGCUCCCCUCCUUAAUCACCCCCACGAGGACGCUUCAAGGAACUCCAAUAAAACUACUUUGGACAACAGGAUUUCCCCCAGUUCCGAGACACAGGCCAUUAAGCCCAAGCUCUGGUCUCUAGCUGAAAUAGCCACUUCGGACCUUAAAAAUCAGAACAUGGGCCAAAGCUGUCAGCCACCGGCUUUAUCUUCAGUAACCCCCUCUUCUACUUCGCACAGCUCUGCCUACUCUCCCUCUUCUCUCUUAGGAAGGCACAUUUAUUACACUUCACCUUUUUAUACCAAUUAUACAAACUAUGGGAACUUUAACGCACUCCAGAGCCAGGGGAUCCUGAGAUAUAACUCCGCAGCAAUGGCUUCGAACGAGGGACUAAGUCAAACUGUACUAAAUACAAGCUCUGUUCACAAACAGAGCAGUGACUCUUUGAAAACGAUCACUAACCAGCUAGAACAACAUUACAGGCCCUCUAGUUAUGAGUCUAAGAAAGGUAGGUGACUGCUUCUUUUCUUUCGAAAGGCAAAAUGACUUCUACACACACUGUAGAUAAAGAAUGCUUAUUUGGACAAACACCAUCACCAGCAGCAGACAAAUAAACCGACAAUACUUAAGGAAAAGGAGCUGGAGCUAGACAACAAUAUAUUUUGAUCCCACUGACGUCUGCACAGUAGGAGUACAACCAUACCUAUAGAAGUGCAAUCACACAGCAAUGCAAGUAGGUGUCAC